GUGCCAGCCGCCGCGGUAAUACGGGAAGGGCAAGCGUUAUUCGGCAUGACUGGGCGUAAAGAGUCCGUAGACGGUAAAACAAGUUUCUUGUUAAAUCUUAAGACCUAAUCUUAACACAGCAAUUAAUACUGUUUUACUCUGAGUUUAAUACAGAAAAGUAGAAUUUUAUACGAUAGAGGUGAAAUUUGUAAAUAUAUAAAGGAAUGCCAAUAGCGAAGGCAACUUUUUGGUAUAAACUGACGUUGAGGGACGAAAGCGUGGGUAGCAAACGGGAUUAGAGACCCCGGUAGUCCACGCCGUAAAUUCUGAGUGCUGUAAUUUAAUUGUAAUAUUUUUAAAAUAUUUAUUUUAGAUUUUCAAGCUAACGCAAUAAGCACUCCGCCUGAAGAGUACGAUCUCAAGAUUGGAACUCAAAGGAAUUGACGGGGGUUUAACACUAGUGGUGGAGCAUGUGGUUUAAUGCGAUAAUCCGCGCAAAACCUUACCAAUUCUUGACAUAAUUAAACAAUUUAUUAUAUAAACUUUAAUUUAAUUGUUUUUUUACAGGUGUUGCACGACUGUCGUCAGCUCGUGUCGUGAGAUGUUUGGUUAAGUCCUGAAACGGGCGCAACUCUUACUUUUAAAUUUUAACGUAUUAAAUUAAAUUUUUAAUUUAAUUGCUUUAAAAGGACGGUCAAUGAUAAGUUGAAGGAGGGUAAGAACGAAGUCAAGUCAAUGUGACCCUAAUGAAUUGGGCUACUUCAUGUGCUACAAUGAAAAUUACAAAAAGUGACAAAAAAGAAAUUUUAAGGUAAUCAACAAAAAUUUUCCCAGUUCGGAUUUUAGACUGCAACUCGUCUAAA
rnacentral:rRNA from 1 species